CUACAUAUUGUAGUCAUGGGUCUUCGGAUUCGGAUCCGAAGCUAAGAGGGAAUCCGGUGAGCCUUAAGGGCAAAUCCGGAGCUGCCCCCGCAACUGUGAGCGACGAGCCUCCUGCCAUCACACGUCACUGGUGAGCAAUCACCGGGAAGACCGGCAGAGGGCGACGACCCGCAAGCCAGGAGACCUGCCCAGGACUGACGAUCAUG
rnacentral:ncRNA from 1 species